rnacentral:tRNA from 1 species
GGGAGUGUCGUUCAAUGGUAGGACUCUUCUCUCCAAAAGAAGGUAUCCCCGUUCGAGUCGGGGCACUCCCGCAA